GUCUACAGCCAUGGCACCCUGAACAAGCCGGAUGUCUGAUCUCAGAACCUAAGCAGGGUCAGGCCUGAUUAAUACUUGGAUAGUAGACCACCCAGGAAGACCAGGUGCUGUAGGCA
rfam:Pteropus alecto contig23996, whole genome shotgun sequence.